rnacentral:lncRNA from 1 species
AUUUAUUAUUCUACAAAAAAUAACUGAUAGGAAAAAUGUAACCAUAAAAAGUGCUUGACAUGUAAAAUAUAAAUGUACAAGGAACAUGGAACGGAUUCAGAUAUGCUGUUGAUUGAUCAACAAUUUGUUUUUAAAAAACGUGUAUUGGUAACUAGAUUUCCAUGUUAAUAGCAUAUCGAGUAUUCAGCUUACUGGGGAUUUCAAAAUAUAUUUUUAACCAGUUUCAGCAUUUUUAGAACUGCUUUAUUCCAUGAUCAUUUUUAUCAUUGAUAAAUGAUUUUUAAAAAAGUAGAGCAAAAUGAUACUGAAACAAAUCUGUACCUUUUGGUUUUAGACACAUGAUCAUUCAUAAACACACAGACAUGCAGCCAUAACUAACCACCCCCCCCCCAUCUUUUGCCGAUAGCUGAAAUUUUCCUGGACCUGAUCAAGUGCGUAGCCUGGUUGCUGUGUUGACUACAGCCCUGUCUGUGUCCUCCUUGCAACUCAUUCUUUCAGACAACAGCUUAGGUUAAUGUCUGAGAUGCACAUGACCUGGGGAAUCUUCAGGAAUCUGUGACACCAAUUGAGCCCCAGAGGGGCAGCACAACCUCAGAAGUGCUGAACAGGGAGAAGGCCCUGCUGCGGACAAGCAGCUGGAGUGAGAAUAAAAACAACGGGAUCAUAGGGGCAACUCUGCACGAUCCAUGUGACAUUGGGGAGGGGGCACAGCGUUCUCUGAGAAGCUUCGGAGUGAGCUGUGCCUGGCCAGUCUUGGGGGAGGAGCAGCAUUUCACUGAGCUGCAGCUGACAAGAAGCUUCAAGACAGCCUGUCUCUUUUUGCAGUAAGAAUCAAGACAACCAGAUCACAGAGCCAGACCCUUCCUGAUCCACGUGACUUUGGGUAAGGCUCUUUUCAUUUUGCAAAAUACUUCACAUUAAAAACAUGUUGAGAACUCAGGGUAUAAUUUAUUUUGCUUCUUUCUCUAAAGCUUUAGCAAUUAUAAAAACUACAUUUUAUAUUAAAAUCAUGUUAGGUUGAGAAUUUAAGGUGUAAUUCAUUUUGCUUCCUGUUCUGUAGCCAUAAUGUUUUGUAAUUAAAAGUAAUAUCUUCUACUUUGGGGGAGGAAUCUCAUGUGUCAAACUGCUAUGAAGAAUUCAUGCUGGAGACUAAUCAGAUUUCUACCUGAAGUCCUAGCCAGCCACCUGACUCUCAAAAAAUCCUUGAUAAUUACCCCAUCCAAUAUGUGAACCUGGCAGCCAUUCUGAAUCUCUGCCUUCUAAGCUCAUGCUAUUAACAAGGUCAUUGUGUUGUGGUCUAGGUUCAAGAGAUACAGACCUUAUUAUGUUUGUCUGCCUGCUUUGAGUAGAUAGGGAAACAUUUACAGCUUAAAAAUUAUAAAGCUGUGUGUUUAGCUAGAACAGUGCUUCCAAAGAGUUCUUAGACAAGUAGCGUCAGCAUCACUUGAUAACUUAUUAGAAGUACAGAACUUUGGAUCCUAUCCAGAGCAUCUGAAUACAAUUCUCAGGAUAAGGCCUAGAAAUCUAGUUUUAAGAAUUCUCCAGAUGAGUUUGAUGCACACCAAGUUCAGAGUCCUGCUUCUCUAGGUAUAAUAUUAGGGGCACCAGUCCCAAAAUGUCUAAUACAUAGAGUUCCUGACACACCACUUCUGUCAUCAUGCACAUAGAGUCACACUUUAAUAAUCAUGUGCAAUAACGAAAGUAAGUUAUUUGAGAUGUUAUAAAAACACUUUUCCAGUUCUUAUCCUCCACCUUAUAUUAUUCUGCAUUUUCCUCC